rnacentral:rRNA from 1 species
GACGAACGCUGGCGGCGUGCCUAAUACAUGCAAGUAGAACGCUGAAGGAGGAGCUUGCUUCUCUGGAUGAGUUGCGAACGGGUGAGUAACGCGUAGGUAACCUGCCUGGUAGCGGGGGAUAACUAUUGGAAACGAUAGCUAAUACCGCAUAAUAGUAGAUGUUGCAUGACAUUUGCUUAAAAGGUGCAAUUGCAUCACUACCAGAUGGACCUGCGUUGUAUUAGCUAGUUGGUGGGGUAACGGCUCACCAAGGCGACGAUACAUAGCCGACCUGAGAGGGUGAUCGGCCCAACUGGGACUGAGACACGGCCCAGACUCCUACGGGAGGCAGCAGUAGGGAAUCUUCGGCAAUGGACGGAAGUCUGACCGAGCAACGCCGCGUGAGUGAAGAAGGUUCUCGGAUCGUAAAGCUCUGUUGUAAGAGAAGAACGAGUGUGAGAGUGGAAAGUUCACACUGUGACGGUAUCUAACCAGAAAGGGACGGCUAACUACGUG